AUGAUCCAACAGGCCGCCAGGCUGAUGGAAAAAUCCGGCGGCGGCGCCAUCGUUAAUGUGGCCUCUAUCAAUGGCAUCCGACCGGUUCCCUUCCAGGGGAUCUAUUCCAUUACCAAAGCAGGCUUAAUUUCCAUGACCAAGGCUUUUGCCAAAGAGCUCGCCACUAAAAACAUCCGGGUCAAUGCGCUGCUUCCGGGGUUGACAGAAACCCAUUUUUCAGAGACCAUCAUUAUAAACGAACAAAUAUAUAACUUUGCCGUUCAGCAGAUACCCAUGGGGCGACAUGCCCAGCCCGGUGAAAUGGCAGGCGCUGUACUGUACCUGGUGUCUGAUGCCGCUUCUUUUACGACCGGGACGUGCUUGGUCU
rnacentral:rRNA from 1 species